UCCCAAUUGGCUCCCAAAUUUUAUUUAUCUUACCGGUUUGUUUUGAUUUGAAAAAGUCUUUUAAAGCUAUUCUCAUCAACUUGUUGAAUUGCAAUGUCAUAGUAAUGGUCUUUGAAGGGUCACUGGAAUUUCAUCUUUAUCCAUGGCGACCAAUAUGAACACUUAUCAGCUCAUUAGAUUUUUGUAUAAACUAAGGACUACUAGUGCAUCUUAGCGCGUGGUUACUGUACUGCCUCUGCACAUCAGCACCUUAAACACGGACAGUGUUUACCUUUUUGUGUGUCGCUUUCGGCGCGUAAAACCAUUUUUAAUUGCUUGCUCCACUGUCACUUUUCUUCGACCGCGCAGCCGCUGACAUUGUAAAAGUUGUUUGCCAUUGUUUUCACUUUGCCAGCGACCACAAUUGAUGGUCCGUCCGGUCGGGCUUGAAUGCCCAAACAGCUCCAAACAAGCCCGCCGCGAUGGGAAAACUCUGCGCAGGCGCGUUGAUCGGCAUUUGGCAAGGAGAUGCAUCUGCCGCGAAGUCGGUUUAAAAUGGGUCAACAGCAGCAGCAGCAUCGCAGCAGCAGCAGCAACAACAGCAGCAUCACAACAGCAGCAUCACAACAGCAGCAUCACAACAGCAGCAGCAGCGUAACAGCAACAACUUCAUACCGCCCACUCCACUCUUCAAAAAUGCCAAAAGAUGCAUUUAAUCCGUGGUUACUGCUUACCUGCUACCUAUUAAAAUAAAAAUAAUAAUAGACUAUGGGAAAAAGUCCCCAAGACUCAGAAAA